AAUUGUUUUUUUUUUCCUUCU
rnacentral:snRNA from 1 species